AACGAACGCUGGCGGCAGGCUUAACACAUGCAAGUCGAGCGCCCCGCAAGGGGAGCGGCAGACGGGUGAGUAACGCGUGGGAAUCUACCGUGCCCUACGGAAUAGCUCCGGGAAACUGGAAUUAAUACCGUAUACGCCCUUCGGGGGAAAGAUUUAUUGGGGUAUGAUGAGCCCGCGUUGGAUUAGCUAGUUGGUGGGGUAAAGGCCUACCAAGGCGACGAUCCAUAGCUGGUCUGAGAGGAUGAUCAGCCACAUUGGGACUGAGACACGGCCCAAACUCCUACGGGAGGCAGCAGUGGGGAAUAUUGGACAAUGGGCGCAAGCCUGAUCCAGCCAUGCCGCGUGAGUGAUGAAGGCCCUAGGGUUGUAAAGCUCUUUCACCGGUGAAGAUAAUGACGGUAACCGGAGAAGAAGCCCCGGCUAACUUCGUGCCAGCCGCCGCCGUAACAC
rnacentral:rRNA from 1 species